rnacentral:rRNA from 1 species
UACGUAGGCAGCAAGCGUUGUUCGGAUUUACUGGGCGUAAAGGGUGUGUAGGCGGUUGUUUAAGUUUGGUGUGAAAUCUCCCGGCUCAACUGGGAGGGUGCGCCGAAUACUGAAUGACUUCGAGUGCGGGAGAGGAAAGUGGAAUUCCUGGUGUAGCGGUGAAAUGCGUAGAUAUCGGAAGGAACAUCAGUGGCGAAAGCGACUUCCUGGACCAAUACUGACGCUCAUGUGCGAAAGCGUGGGGAGCAAACAGG